UGAAGACUAAAUUUUAGGGUCAUUCAAUUCAACUUGAUCGUGUUGUUCUUUUAACGGUGGAAUUUGACGACAAAGAAAUUUUUCAAUGGAGUAAGGUUACAACAUCAAUUAACAACCUUAUAUUGGGAAAGCUCUAUUGUGACCACUGUGGUACAAUGCGUAUACAGGGGAAUCAUAACUAUUCUUGCAAGCUGAAAUUCAAGGAGCAAUCUAUCAUUGACCAAAAUCCUCACCAGGUACAUGGUUUAGUUCAAGAUAGAAAUGGAAAAACGAUAGUAAUACUAUUUGGAAAAUGGGG